rnacentral:lncRNA from 10 species
UAAUUAUCAUUUUGCAAAAAAUCAAGUGAAGAUUAUUUUGUCUUCUCUUUGCUUUCCAGAUUCUUAAGCAUUUCAAUUAAACAUCAUUGGGCAGGGGGUAUAUGGGCAAGGAGUAUGUGAGGUUGCAUUUGGCACAAAGAAAAUCUUAAUAAAUUAUAAAUAUUCAAUGUUUUAAUUUAGACCACGUUUUACAACCAUAAUAAAGUUAGAAAUUAAAAGUUCCAAUGAGUCAAAUGUAAGAGUACACAAAAAUUUAUAAAACUUAUUCAAAACAAAUAAAAUAAACAUUAAAUUACUAACAUUUAAGAAAAUUAAAUCAAUGAAAAAAAUGUGUACAAGAAAAAGAAGAUCAAUAAUGUCUCAGACCUAAAAAUCUAGAAAUCAGCCUUUGGCUCCCCCUUUCUGUCACACCUACAUACCUAGUCUAGCAACAAUUUUGCUAGACCAGGGUUUCUCAAGCGCAACACCAUUGAAAUUUUGGGCUGGAUGAUUCUUUGUAUUAGGAGUUGUCUUGUGCUUUGUAGAAUGGCUAACAUCAUUCCUGGCAUCUACCAUCUAGAUGCCAGUUGUACCACCUCCAUCCCUGGUUGUGACAAUCAAAAAGGUCUCCAUAUAUUGCCAGAUGUUCUCUAGGCACAAAAUAAACCAAUUUGAAAUGAUGGCAUUAGACCCUACCUCUUUAUUUUGAAUCCUUCCAUUUCUUUUCCAUUCCACUCCUAACUCCCUGUUCAAAGUCAGUGUCUUCUCUUGUAUGAACUAUUAAAGCAAUUUCUCUUUGUUUUCAAUCAUGGUUCUUUAUGAUUCAUUCUUCACACAGCAGCCAUAUAAAUAUAUUUUGUCACUUUUCAAUGGCUUCACUGGGGACUUAAAAUAAAUAUUAAACUUUUCACCUAUGGCUACGAGGCCUGAAUUACUUGGCAUCUCUUCAUCUUUCUGGACUUAUGUUCUGCCUUUCUUACCCAAUCUCAUGACAUUUUCGACAUCUGGAAUUUCUUCACUUUUUCUAUGUUAACUUAGCUCAUUUUCAUCUUUGGCUCUUUUGCAGGUCUCUGCCUGGAAUGCUCUUCUGGAAUGUUGCAUCACUCACCUUUCAGUUCAAAAUUAAACAUUGUCUUCUCAAAUAGUCUUUCUCUGAUCACAAGCUCUAAAUCAGUCACAUUUUAAAUUUCUUCAAACUCAAAGCAUUUUAAUUAUCUUCAUAGUAGUUAUUAUAUUUUCUUUAUUAUUAUUUGCUAUCCCUCAAAUAAAAAAAUAAAAAGGUCAGACUCAUGAAGAUCAGAGAGAUCUGACCAAUAAGAAAGGUUACUAGAAAUUCAAUGGAUGCAGGCAAUCGCAUGAUCAAGGAAGAGCAUGUCUAAAACAGUCUAAAACCAUCAGCAUAUCUCAUAUGUCUUCUUUCAUUGGGGACAUUGGAUUGAGAUUUAACAUACGAGGUUUAAAGCAAUGCAUGUGAAGCAUCAUUUAUACAAAAGUAACUGUAUUGGUCAUAAAACAUAUCCAUUUUAUACCCAAUAAUUACAUGAGAUGUAAUAUUUUCCAGCAUACUUUGCUCCAUAAUUCCAUCAAUUCCAAAUUUAUAUUUUAUAAGCAACUAGAGCAGGUCCUGAGAAAAGCAUUCCACAGAUAAAGACUCUAUUUCCUUCUGGUAAAUACCAUCAGAGGGUCUGAUAACAUGUUGUCAAGAUGACUUGACCUGAACAUUUUUCUUUUUCUGACUGCAUGUAUGUCCUCAUGGGAAUGGUGAUAAGCUGUAGGCCAGCUACUAACCCUUUUCUUCCUACUCCAAAUACACUCCCCAUCUCCCAACACAAACCCACUUUUUCAGAGCAAGUACUUUCAGAGACGUCACUUCUGUAUCUCCUGUACCUAAAACUACACCUAGCACUUAGUAGCUUAUGAAGUUUAUAAAUAAAUAAACAAAAAGUUACAAGAAAAUCUAAUGCUCAUUGAUGAUGCAAGAUAAAAUUUCAUUUAAUUAUAAUAUAAUACUAGAAUUAUUCAGAAAUAAAAUAGCAAUAAAGAGAUCUUAACAUGCCUCUAUCAAAAUUAAAAACAUAAAUAUAAAUUAUUGGCAUAUAAGAAUAAAAUAUGAUUAGUAAGACUGUUCUAGCAUAAACAUGCUCUCUCACAUACAGAAACAGACACGUAUGUCAAACCACUUGUGUGCUGGAGCCAGCUCAUAGCUUGUAAGAGCCAACUGUUUUAUUAAUUUUGUGUCAGUUGUUAAAUACAGUUGUUACUAUGAAAAUUAUAAAACAUAAAACUAAAUAAAUAAUUUAAAAAAUAAAAGUAAUAAAAAUGGAAAAACAUCACUUUCUAAUUAGUUUACUGCAUUGUACUAUUAUCUAUGCCUUCAAGUUUAUGUUUAUUGUAUCUUUGGGGUGGAAUUACUAGAUAAUUGUGUAUUACUACUCAUUUCUUUCUAACUCCACAUUUAAUUACAUUACUUUGGGAGUGUAAGAUUGGCCACAGUAAGAGUAUUUAUGCCAUAAAUAUUUUAAAAAUGCUACAAAUUAGGCUUUUUCAUUUUGUGAUGAGAGCUAGUUGUUAAAUAAACAUUUACCAGCACAUCAUUAUACCAAACUGUAUAAUAAUAUAAAGAGGAAAAAAUAGAGCAGGUGAACAGAAAAAUGGACCAAAAAAUAAAAAAAGGUUAGAAAAAAAAGAACUAUAAAAGGUUAAUGAAAUAGAGAUUGAUAAACUAAUGUCAAUUAACUUUUUUCUUAAUAACAGAAACUGUGUUGUUUGGGACAGUGAUGGCACCAGCUGGAUAUGAUUCUCAGGUUCCCUUGAAAUUAGGGAUGGCCUUAUGAUAGUUCUUGUCCAUCAGGCAUAAGCAGAAAUGUUGGCCAUUUGGGAAAAGCUUCAGUUUUAUCAGGUAGGUUCUAUAUAUAUGUGUGUGUGUGUGUGUGUGUGUGUAUAUAUAUAGAUACACAUUUAUAUACUGAAAUAAUAGACUUACAAUACCUUAAGACUUUACUAUACUCAAUCAGUCAUAUUCUCCCAGCGUUCACAUUAUGGAUGCUUUUGUGUAGCAGAUAUACAUUCAUACUUUGAGGCGGCUGGCAAGAUGGCGGAAUAGAAACAGCUUCGGUCUGCAGCUCCCAGCGAGAUCAACCCAGAAGGCGGGUGAUUUCUGCAUUUCCAACUGAGGUACUUGCUUUGUUCUUGAGAGUUUGAAGCUUACAUUGUCUAAAAAGUUGGGAUUCAAAGUGACAGUUGAUCCUGACUCACACGUCAAAAUAAUUCAAGAGAUUUCCUUAAGCUCUAUCGUGCUUUAAAAUCAACAUGCCUGGGAAUGUAAAUUAGUAUCGUCAUUAGAGAAAACAGUAUGGAGGUUCCUCAAACAAUUAAAAAUAAAAUUACUGUAUGAUCUAACAAUCCCAUUACUGGCUAUAUAUUCAAAGGAUAUGAAAUCAGUAUGUUAAAUAGUUAUAUGUACUCCCAUGUUUAUUGCAACAUUAUUAACAAUAGCCAAGAAAUGGAAUCAACCUAAGCGUCUAUCAACAGAUAAAUGAAUAAAGAAAAUGUGGUAUACAUACACAAUGAAAUACUAUUCAGCCUUAAAAGAGGGGGAAAUUCUGUCGUUUGUGACAACAUGAAUAAAUCUGGAGGACACUAAUGUUAGGUGAAAUAAGUUAUGCACAGAAAGAUAAAUACUGCAUGAUCUCACUUACAUGUGCAAUCUGAAAAAAGUCAAAUUCAGAAGCGGAGAGUAGAAUGGUGGCUACCAGGGGUUGGGGGUGAUGGAGGGAUUGGGGAAAUAUUGGUCAAAGGAUACCAAAUUUUAUUUAGACAGAAGGGAUUAGUUCAAGAGCUCUGUUGUACAACAUGGUGACUAUAGUCAAUAACAACGCAUUCUAUACUUGAAAACUGCUAAGAGAUUUUAAGUGUUCUCACUACAAAUAUGAUAUGUAAGGCUGAAAAAAAAGAUCACCAUGGCAAAGACCAUGUUUAUUUUUGUUCAGUAAAUACUUCAUUUAUUUGUAUUUGUUGGUUCUCAUCUUCCCCAUAUAGUU